rnacentral:rRNA from 1 species
GCUAAGUGCAAGUGACGCUCCCCCUCCUCCUCCUCCUGCCGGUUGGGGACGCGAUCUGCUCGGAGAUGUUCCAUGAGGGGAUGGGGCGGAGCUUCGAGGGACAGGCGGAAGUGAAGCUCAAACUAGGAGGUGGGGCUCUAGACUAGGCUAAGUAUUUAGGACACAAUCAUAAGGGGUAGUUAGACCCAGUUAGCUCCCGAAGACGCCACCGAUUAAAGCCCUCCAUCUUCUCCCUCCUCCUCGGUACUUGCCACCAUCGUUCGUUUGCGACUAUAUGUCGAAGCACCGGUUCCCGAGGCACCACGACCGGCUCGUGUGCCGGAAGAGGCCGUUGAAGUCGUGGUAGCGGCACGUCACGGAGGUCUUCGACGGGAGGUUGUCGUGGUCCAGGUGGAUGAGGACGCUACCGGUGUGGAAGUUGAAGGAGCAACUGGCACCAAAACACAAAGAACACCACCGGCUUCUCCGCAACCCUUCCUCGCACGGCAAACACAAGGAUCUCUCCCAAUCCCUUCUGAAGUACGUCUCCAUACCCAGGUCAUAGCUACUCCUCCCUGUUGUGGGCGAACGACUACUACGCCUACUCCUGCUAAAGGACAAACUCCUGGCCAAAUCGUAGCGGAUGUUAGAACUGGCCCUUAAGCCCGGUUCCAACUUCCUAGUGUACGUCAUAACAUAAUUAGUAGGUCUCCUUUAAUCGUUCGAGAGAUUCCACUUUAGUGUAGAAAGUCUCCAAUUUCCCUAGUACUACCUGUUGUAGCUCUUCUAUAAUCUAGCACCGCUCUUCUAACUUGAAAACCACCCGUUCUGGCUUUGGAAUGUCAGCGUCCGGCUGUCGAAGGUAUCCGUACCGUCUCUCGAGUCCGCGUUCUACACCGAAGUCUUGGACUCCAAAUUCGACUACCAGACACCACCGUAGCGUAAAAACUAGGAGUAGGAGACCGAUUACCAAACGUCCCCGAAGUUCACGAUCUCUCAAGUCUCAGAAGUAAACGGGAAAAAAGGAACAGUAAACUACAAGACAAAUGGCACAGUACACGUAUAUUACUGGUGGUUUAAUACGAAAGCGAUACAAGGCUUGUGUCAAUACACCACACUCUGGGAAUUAAGGAGUAUCUGGUAGGAAUACAAGGUAUUCUGGUAUCCCUAGACCUCAUGAACACAUUCGAAAUACUCUCUCCCCCUGCAGUGAGCUAAUAUACAUGUAAGACUUUAUGUUCGAAUAACGGACCUGGAACGAAACGAGUCUAGGAGAACUGCUGCUAGGUACAACGUGGAUCGCGGUUUCUAUAUAGUGCCACCACAUAAACCCUAAAGAAUAAAUAUAAUACUCAUAUUGAACCUCUUCAGCUCGCGGAUAGUCGUUAAAAGACGUCCUAUGGAGGCCAGUAUACGUACGACAGAUGGAUGGUAUAGAGAUCCUUAUGAUUACCGUAACGGGUAUCAACACGAGUAGUCCAAGAGUUAAGUUCUUGUCUUGGACAAAAGAUGACAUGAAUAAUAUGAGUACCGUUGUCAAGAACGGGGAAAGACGUUAGAGGAGCGGAAAGUCGACGUCCUAAAACAUUAAGUACGACAUAAGACGAAUACUCAACUUACUUUG